UAUAUGAAAUUGCCAGUUACUUGUGUC
rnacentral:piRNA from 1 species